rnacentral:rRNA from 1 species
UACGUAGGCAGCAAGCGUUGUUCGGAAUUACUGGGCGUAAAGAGUGUGUAGGCGGUGCUCUAAGUCUGGUGUGAAAUCUCCCGGCUCAACUGGGAGGGUGCGCCGGAAACUGGAGUGCUUGAGGGUGGGAGAGGUAAGCGGAAUUCCUGGUGUAGCGGUGAAAUGCGUAGAUAUCAGGAGGAACACCUGUGGUGUAGACAGCUUACUGGACCACUUCUGACGCUGAGACACGAAAGCGUGGGUAGCAAACAGG